rnacentral:rRNA from 1 species
AACCUUUACACUGCACGACAGUGCGAUAGGGGGACUCCGAGUGCGAGGGCAUAGAGCCCUCGCUUUUGUACACCGUAAGGUGGUGUACGAAUAAGAACUGGGCAAAACCGGUGCCAGCCGCCGCGGUAAUACCGGCAGUUCGAGUGAUGGCCGAUUUUAUUGGGCCUAAAGCGUUCGUAGCUGGCCGAUCAAGUCUGUCGGGAAAUCUGCUCGCCUAACGAGCAGGCGUCCGGCGGAAACUGAUCGGCUUGGGACCGGAAGACUCGAGGGGUACGUCCGGGGUAGGAGUGAAAUCCUGUAAUCCUGGACGGACCACCGAUGGCGAAAGCACCUCGAGAGCACGGAUCCGACAGUGAGGAACGAAAGCUGGGGUCUCGAGCCGGAUUAGAUACCCGGGUAGUCCUAGCCGUAAACAAUGCCUGCUAGGCGUGGCUCCCACUACGAGUGGGUGCUGUGCCGUAGGGAAGCCGCUAAGCAGGCCGCCUGGGAAGUACGUCCGCAAGGAUGAAACUUAA